AAAAAGACAAGGGUAAGCAGGUGUAAGUUGGAAAUCUAUAUCUGAUAAUAGAGAAACAGAAUGAAUAGUGCCAGACACCAGUCUGGCACCUAUUCAGUGGGCGAUGUUGUGGUGGAGAGGGGUUAUUGGGCUUUUUUGGGGGUCAUAGCCUCAUCAGCAAACCCUCAACCACGUGUUCCAAAAGGGACACGAAUGAAUAGUGCCAGACACCAGUCUGGCACCUAUUCAGUGGGCGAUGUUGUGGUGGAGAGGGGUUAUUGGGCUUUUUUGGGGGUCAUAGCCUCAUCAGCAAACCCUCAACCACGUGUUCCAAAAGGGACACGAAUGAAUAGUGCCAGACACCAGUCUGGCACCUAUUCAGUGGGCGAUGUUGUGGUGGAGAGGGGUUAUUGGGCUUUUUUGGGGGUCAUAGCCUCAUCACCAAACCCUCAACCACGUGUUCCAAAAGGGGCAUAUCUCAUCGCCACCGCCAUCUGAUUACCGCCACAACCCUCUCAGGCCAAAACGACUGUUUAAACAUCCACCACCCUCGCUAGGGUUUCGGUAAGGUGUCGACGACGGUUGUUUCCGGCCACACCUGUUCGUAGUGUAUGCUGAAAACCCUAGGAAUUCUACAGUGUAGACACGUUGCAGACAUGUGGCAAGUUCGACUGACAUAAGUUAUACACGUGGCUUUAAAAAAUGUGGCCCGAUAGAAGAGUACAUCACCUUCCAGAUGCUUUGUUAAUAGAUAAAUUAAUGAAGAUUAUUGGAUCAGAUUUCUUUAAAAUAGUGCCAGAGGUGAUAACCACUUCUGUUGUUGCUGCUGGAAAUUAUGCAUUCCAGGUCAAAGCACAGUUACUCCACCCGAACAAAUGUUUGCUACAGGUGAGGAGCUCAAGGCAUUGAAAGGAGAGGCGGAGAAAGAUGGCGAAAAGACAAUAAAGCGAAGGGGCGGUGAUAUCAAAACAAAUAUUUAUCAAGAUGUUUUCUAGCAAGGACAAAGAUAGUAAUAACAGGAGUUCGGAUACAUCAGAGAUUCGUUCGUCAUUCGACGAAUGCUGAGGAAACAAAGUCGUGCACGCCGACAUCGAGGAGCAAGAGCAAUAUCAAGCAAUACCAAACGAUGUCGGAUGAGGUUUCUCGAACGCUUUUUGUAGAUACGGUUUUCACGCCGCAACGCACGGGCGGGUAUAAAUCUAGUUAGUAUAAUAUAGCGUUGGAUGUAUAUUCAACUCAAAGAAAAACACAGCAGUUGACUUUCCAUAGUAGUCAAACUGCGUUCAAAAGUUUGAAUGGAACAGAAUUUAUAUGUAUAAAAAGGAGGUGAUUCUGAU